GCUGGACUCCACCCAGUUUAAUUUGGGUAGAGGAUGUUUCAGCAGGUUGGGGGAAAACACUGAUUACCAAAAUGAACUGACCCUUUCUAAUAGUGUUGUGUGACAGUGUAAUCCCCAUGACAAAUUAAACCAUGUUGGCUCAGUCUGACUGCAGAGGAGACGAGGACGGCCGCUGUCUGAGCAGUAACACUAUCACCCAAAUGUAUUCCUGCUUUGGAAAUGGCCUUCCUGUGAAAAGUCUGAAAUCUCAAAUAUCAGCCAUCAAGAGUUCAGAGCGAGCUCCUUCAGGCACUGAGCCUCAGGAAACCAACAUUGCACGGAGAAGUGUAGGCUUUGAUGAUGAAAGUGAUGAAACUGCGAACCAAGAUGAGGUUUUCAGCUCUCCUAUAGACAUAUCUUCAGCCCUUAGGUCUGUGGCCUUGAUGCGCACAUGGGAUUUGGGAAGAACGCAUUUCCCUGUGCAAAAGCUGUUCUCAGUUCCUGGACACGGUGACAAGGAUAACAGAUUGUCUUCACCAAUAGCUGAUAAAUGUGAAAAUGAAGAAGGGGCAGAGGAUCCAGUUGAGGCUGAAGCACUUGGUGUGUCAUUCCAGUCAAAGUACUUUAAUAUUUUCCCACUGUAUCAGGACUACUGUCUAACAGUGAAAGCUGACCUGCACAGGGUCACCAAAGGCUUUCUGUCUGAUCUGCUGACCUCCCAGUGCCUCCCGGGUCUACAGUCCCCUCUGACCCCUCGCAGCCUUUUCGAGGUCACCUGCCCUCCAUCACCUCCGCCUGUGGUGAUCCCAUCCUCAACUCCACCUCACUUUCUUGGGUCAUCCCGAUGUACCUUUUGGCAAGAUCUGGAUGAGGUGAAGGCUUCUGGCCUGCUUAACAAGUUGACCACCAGAGAGAUUCGCCUUCAGGAGGCCACGUUUGAGUUGAUUGGCUCGGAGGCUUCCUACUUGAGGAGCCUUGGGGUUGCUGUCAAUCACUUCUAUGCGUCAAAGACACUGAAACAAACCCUGUCUCAGAUGGAGCAUCACAUUUUGUUUUCCAAUCUUCGUCACGUGAUGGCAGCCAGUGAGAGGUUUCUCAUGGACCUUGAAGUUCGCCUGGGCGAGAGCGUGCUGAUAUCUUAGGUUGGGGACAUUGUGCUCCGGCACUGCCCAGCGUUCAGAGCCCUCUAUGUGCCAUAUGUGACCAACAUGAUGUACCAAGAGGCCCUUGUCAACCAAAUGCUACAGCAGAACAGGGGAUUUUCGUUUGCACUCAAGAAACUCGAGAGCGACCCAGUGUGUCAGCGGCAGAGCCUCAAGUCAUUCCUGGUCCUUCCGUUUCAGAGACUCACUCGUCUUAAACUCAUAACAGAG